GACGAACGCUGGCGGCGUGCUUAACACAUGCAAGUCGAGCGGUAAGGCCCUUUCGGGGUACGACGAGCGGCGAACGGGUGAGUAACACGUGGGUGACCUCGCCCUCCAGCUCUGGGAGUAAGCCUCGGGAAACCGGGUCGUAAUACCGGAUAUGACUCCAUGACGCAUGUUGUGGGGUGGAAAGCCUUGUGCGGCUGAGGAUGGGCCCGCGGCCUAUCAGCUUGUUGGUGGGGUGAUGGCCUACCAAGGCGACGACGGGUAGCCGGCCUGAGAGGGCGACCGGCCACACUGGGACUGAGACACGGCCCA
rnacentral:rRNA from 1 species